CUCUGUCCAGGGCACAAAGCAAACUACAGAACUCUCCCCUGAUGUGUUCUCCCACUGGCCAGAAAGAAAGCCACAUCCACAAGUCACCUGUGAUACUUUUUUUGAAGAAAAAUAUUCAGAAAAGAUUUGGAGAAUGCCAAUCAAGGUCACUGUGAAAAGCAACACAAAGAAACUCUGAUCACGUCUCACUUCUUGCCAAUAUUGCUCAGAAGAAAAAACGACCAGUGAAUUCUGUGUUUGAAAAAAGCAUCUCA
rnacentral:lncRNA from 1 species